rnacentral:lncRNA from 10 species
AGAACCUGCUGACACGUGAUGUCUCCCCCAGACACCCAGCUUCAAAAUUUCUCUCUUUUGUACUCUUUCCCUUUAUUUCUCAGACCAGUUGACACUUAGGGAAAAUAGAAAAGAACCUACAUUGAAAUAUAGGGGGUGGUUCCCCUGAGAGGUAAAUCAGGAAUUUCUUCUUGGUUAGGAUCCAUUGCUGCCAGCCAGCAAGUCUACCAGGCUCCAGACUGGUACUGGGGGUUGUCUGCACAGAGUCCUGUGAUGUGAACUGUCUGUGGGUCUCUCAGCUGUGGAUACCAGCACCUGCUCCCGUGGAGGUGGCACAGGAAUGAAAUGAACUCUAAGCCCUGGGCUCAGCCAGAGUUCAGCAGAGAAUGGGUGACCAGCAGCAGAGAGGAGCUUCCCACUCCAGGGAUGACCUGCCUGCAGAGAGGAGCCACCCACCACAUGGCUUCCUGCUCUCUGCUGAGGGCUGAACACUCAUCGUGACACUGUGGCUGCAGGAAGGAGAUACCUACAGUGGGUCUCUGAGCUGGUCUACUGCUCAAUAAAGCUCUUCUUGGUUUUGCUCAUCCUCCACUUGUCUGCGUGCCUCAUUGUUCCUGGUCACAGGACAAGAACUUGGACCGCCGAAUGGCAAGUCUAGAAGACCUGUAAUACAAACUGGUCUGAAACAUGACCCUUGCUCACCACAUGGUGGGUGAAGAGAGGGAGAGAAGAGGUUUAGCCCUUCAAGCCAGGGCUGUGGCUCUCUCUUUAAGGCCCUGUGGUUCCUGGCAACUCUGAGCUUAGGGACACCACUGCAUUUCCUGCUGCCAGCUGAGGAAGCUGCUUGCAGUGCACCUGGUCCAGCCACAGCCUUGCAGAGCUGCCCACCCGACUGUAGCAGCUAGCAUGCCUGACCAUGUGCAGUGACUGGAUCCCAUGCUUACUCGCUCACACACCCCUUACCCCUCCACGCCUGGCUCAUCCUUGGCAGGCGUGGGAUCCAGGCCCACUGCAUGAGCCAAGUGCAGCCUGGCAGGCUGAAUGGAUGGAAUGAGCUGGGCAGGCCCAAGCAAAAGUCAAGCAAAGGUGCCACUGGCCACAGAGGUUUCUGACCAGAAAAGCAACACUUCAAAGAUCCUGUAACAUUUGGAGUGUUUCCACUUUGGGGCAAUAAUAAAUAAAACUUCCAGUAAUCUCCAUUUUAUUUUUUUUGUCUUUGGUGAAUGUGUAGACUCCAUGCUCAUGGAAAUGCAUCUCCAAGUAGAAAUGGUGGGUCGUAAGAGUGGCAUAAUAUCAGCUUUAAUAGAUAUUACCAAUAAUUUUCUAAUAUGUUUUUAUCAAUAUAUCCUCUUGCCAGCAAUGUUUGAGAGUUCCAAUUGCUCUACACACUAACCAACACUUAGUAUUGUUAGUUUAUUUAAGAAAAAAGUUUUAGUCAUUCUGAUAAAUACAUGUUGGUAUCUCAUUAUGAUUUAAAUUUGCAUUUCCCUAGUGAAUAGUACUUUUUCAUAUACCUACUUGUUACUAAAAUAUCUUAUUUUCUGAAAUACUUACUUAGGACCUUCACCUAUUUUUGAAAAUUUGAUAUUUUAAUACUUAAUGUUUUGAAGAAGCUCUUUAUAUGGAAUUAGAAUAAGUACUUUUCAGAUAUUCAUAUUACAAUGUCUUUUCCAGUCUGUGACUUGCCUUUUCAUUCUUUU